rnacentral:rRNA from 1 species
UACAGAGGUCCCGAGCGUUGUUCGGAUUCAUUGGGCGUAAAGGGUGCGUAGGCGGCGGGGCAAGUCUGAUGUGAAAUCCCGGGGCUCAACCCCGGAACUGCAUUGGAUACUGCCUUGCUCGAGUACUGGAGAGGGAACUGGAAUUUACGGUGUAGCAGUGAAAUGCGUAGAGAUCGUAAGGAAGGCCAGUGGCGAAGGCGAGUUCCUGGACAGUUACUGACGCUGCGGCACGAAGGCCAGGGGAGCAAACGGG